rnacentral:lncRNA from 1 species
UGUGUGUGUUUUUGUAUAUUUUUAAUAUUGUUGUGUAUUUCUAUUUUUGUUUAUACUGUCAUGUAAUUUUUUGCAUCGUUUAUAUUGGCGUGUUUACAUGUAUAUUGUUGUGCUUUUUUUUUUUUGCUUAUUAUUUUUAAUUUUAAUACAUAUGAACACCUCAAUAUAAACAGUGCACAAAAUUAAAUGACAGUAUGCAUAUGGUGCUAUUGCUAAUUAUUUUUAUUGUUGCGUUUUACAUUUGCUGCUAUUGUUUAAGUGAUUUCAUAUUUUUUUGUCUGAUUAUAAUAUUUAAAUAUAUCUUUUUGUUUUAUUUUUUAUUUUCUAUUACCCUUCUGAUCACAAAACGUUAUGUUAUCUCAUUUAUUCAUUAUCUCUCAACUUAGCUCAUUCACUUUUUUCUUUUUUGUUAUUAGUCUGGCUUUUUUUAAUAGUUAUUAUUAUCCUUUUUGUUAUAAUUAUUUUUUGGUCACUAUCUAUAUUAUUACUUUUUGUUGCUUGUUUGUUUUUUGCUUUACUUGUUUAUUUUGUUAAGGUGUCACACCAAUGAAUAGUUCUUAACUAUACGAGUGACAUCGAACCUAAUUUUGUAAAUUAUGAAUAAAUCUGUAUUUUUUUUUCAAUAUUUUGCUUAAAUAAAUGGAUUAAUAUAUAUAUAUAUAUAUAUAUAUAUAUAUAUAUAUAUAUAUAUAUAUAUAUAUAUAUAUAUAUAUAUAUAUAUAUAUAUAUAUAUAUAUAUAUAUAUAUAUAUAUAUAUAUAUAUAUAUAUAUAUAUAUAUAUAUAUAUAUAUAAAUAUAAUAAAAUUUAUGUAAAUGGUGUAAAACAUUAUCCAUAACAUGGGUUCCUAUCAGGUGAACUUGAUAUUGAACAUCAAUUGCACAUUUCAUUUAGUGUAAUACUGUCCUUUGUCUCUAUGCUAACCUUCUUACUGGACUUUUUCUAACUUUCUCUCUAACAUCCUUCAUUUUUCUAAAAAUUACUUACCUUUGGUCUGCAAACGGGUUAUUAUGCUAUUUAAUGAGCUGAUCUGGGCCUAGGUAUGUAGCCUCUAUAUAAGGUAGUUUUUUGGUGGAGGGUAAACGCAUGGAAAAAAGGUAUAUAUUAAAUAAAAUAGUAUGUUAGAUAUGUAGUGCAGUCUAAAAAAAAUCUUUAAUAAAAUUAUAUAAAAUUGUAGUUUUUGACAAAGUUAUCUGUAGAAUAGAAAUUUUGAUGUUAAUAAUUGUUAAAUUAUUAUUUGUAUUUAUAUACAUUGAUUAAUUUUGAUUGUAACUUUUAAAAUGAAAUACUACUAUUAAAAGUUUUUCUUAGGUUCAUGCCUUGGUUUCAGUUUCAACCCAACCUUGAAUUUUAAAUGUACCUGCAUUUGAAUCUUCUAUUGCUAUGCUAGAUGAUUAGAUAGCUGUUUUCAAAGUUCCCUGGAAAAGUUGCCGGCUGAAAUCAUGGAUUUACUUCACAAGAAUGCUCAUCUUUUGCCACGAAAAACACAAAAGUACAAUGAUGUAUCGCAAAAAUGAAUUGUGAAAAGUUAAAUUAAAUUGAAAAGAAAAACUGGUAAAAAAGCAGUCGGACCUCACCCAAAAGUUUCAAGUUUUGUAAACGAACUAGCGCUUGAGUGGACAGAACAUCAAUAGAUCAAAAGACGUUUUGUUUAUAACAACAUAUAAAUUCUAUUCAUUUA